GUAGAUGGAACUCAGCUGACAGAGUACUUGCCUGGAAUGCAUGAAAUCCUGGGUUCAAUCCUCAGCACUGCA
rnacentral:tRNA from 1 species